rnacentral:rRNA from 1 species
UACGUAGGGUGCGAGCGUUAAUCGGAAUUACUGGGCGUAAAGCGUGCGCAGGCGGUGAUGUAAGACAGAUGUGAAAUCCCCGGGCUCAACCUGGGACCUGCAUUUGUGACUGCAUCGCUAGAGUACGGCAGAGGAGGAUGGAAUUCCGCGUGUAGCAGUGAAAUGCGUAGAUAUGCGGAGGAACACCGAUGGCGAAGGCAAUCCCCUGGGCCUGUACUGACGCUCAUGCACGAAAGCGUGGGGAGCAAACAGG